rnacentral:rRNA from 1 species
UACAGAGGGUGCGAGCGUUAAUCGGAAUUACUGGGCGUAAAGCGUGCGCAGGCGGUUCGUUGUGUCGGCGGUGAAAGCCCCGGGCUCAACCUGGGAAUGGCCGUUGAAACUGGCGAACUGGAGUGUGGCAGAGGGGGGUGGAAUUCCGCGUGUAGCAGUGAAAUGCGUAGAGAUGCGGAGGAACACCGAUGGCGAAGGCAGCCCCCUGGGCUGACACUGACGCUCAGGCACGAAAGCGUGGGGAGCAAACAGG